rnacentral:rRNA from 1 species
UCUGGCGUCUUUGGCGUCCGAGUUGUAAUUUGAAGAAGGUAUCUUUGGGCCCGGCUCUUGUCUAUGUUCCUUGGAACAGGACGUCACAGAGGGUGAGAAUCCCGUGCGAUGAGAUGACCCGGGUCUGUGUAAAGUUCCUUCGACGAGUCGAGUUGUUUGGGAAUGCAGCUCUAAGUGGGUGGUAAAUUCCAUCUAAAGCUAAAUAUUGGCGAGAGACCGAUAGCGAACAAGUACAGUGAUGGAAAGAUGAAAAGAACUUUGAAAAGAGAGUGAAAAAGUACGUGAAAUUGUUGAAAGGGAAGGGCUUGAGAUCAGACUUGGUAUUUUGCAUGCUGCUCUCUCGGGGGCGGCCGCUGCGGUUUACCGGGCCAGCAUCGGUUUGGAGCGGCAGGAUAAUGGCGGAGGAAUGUGGCACGGCUUCUGCUGUGUGUUAUAGCCUCUGACGAUACUGCCAGCCUAGACCGAGGACUGC